UGAGAGCUCUUUGCGAGAGGCAGGAAUAGAACAGUUACGGACCCAGAUUCGGUGAAAGAUAAGAUUCAAGAGGCUAAAGAAAAUGGCUUGUUAUUACGGACGACACGCGGAUUGUCGAGAAUAGGGCCUAUUUGCGGAUAUAAAUGGAAUUACUCGCCUCCUACUUCCACUAAACUAGAGAAAAUCGCAGUUGCACAAGUGUUUGUUUGCAAUCGCGCUUUCCGUUUUCUCCCGCUUUCCGUGUUUACGUCGCCGUUGUCAGUGUGUACGUGUUCGUGUACGUGUAGGAGUGUAGGAGUGUGGUGUUUGUGAGUUUAUGUUUUUAUUUUGCUUUUGCUUUUGCGAGAAAAUCCAACAAAAAAUAGUCCAAAAAUAAAGAUAAGCAGGUGAAAAUCACGGCGACACAUCCGAAUGCGAUUGUUACUGCCAACGAAGCCAUCCAGCAUCUGAGAAUCCGGGAGUUUCCAGCAGCCAGGUACAUAUUCGAUGGAGUUCCUUGAAGGCUUCCCAGCCCCCCAGUCCGAGUGCCACCGGGGGCGAGUGAAUAACACAAUAUUGCGUAUGAAAUAAAUACAAUCGGGAGACAACCUCUAAGGCCAGUGCCUGAAUAUGCAAACAGUCGUAAAAAAGCAUUCGCUUUCUUUGUCGCCCCGAUUUGUGAGAGCUGUGUGCGAGUGGAAUAAAUAAAUUUGGCAGUGUGCUGGGGGCUGGGAAAUGUGCUUACACAUUGUGUAUUUCGAUAUUUGACUUUUGAUAGCCAGCCAAUCGUCGCAUUAUGAACUUGACACACUUUGGCCAACGAAGCGCCACACUUCUGGGUGGAAGAAAACAGAUACAGAUACAUAUACAUUUUUAAGAUUUAAAUGUAAAGUGUACAAAAAUAGUAUUAUUAAUAAAUGCCAGUACAGAAACUUUUUCUGAGGAACUUGAUUUAAAAGUUAAUUCCUGCAGUGAGUUUUUCCUCAGUGCAGUGCCCA
rnacentral:misc_RNA from 1 species